rnacentral:rRNA from 1 species
UACGAAGGGGGCUAGCGUUGUUCGGAAUCACUGGGCGUAAAGCGCUCGUAGGCGGAUCUUUAAGUCAGGGGUGAAAUCCCGAGGCUCAACCUCGGAACUGCCUUUGAUACUGGGGAUCUCGAGUCCGGGAGAGGUGAGUGGAACUGCGAGUGUAGAGGUGAAAUUCGUAGAUAUUCGCAAGAACACCAGUGGCGAAGGCGACUCACUGGCCCGAUACUGACGCUGAGGCGCGAAAGCGUGGGGAGCAAACAGG